UUAGGAUCUCAGUAUCGUUCUCUCGUUCGUCAUAUUUCUAAUAAAAUGUACUAAAUUUAUUGGACAACAUUUCCCAAGAUUAAGCAUCUACAUACUUUGAAGUAAACUACAUGGAUAUUUGUUAUUGUGGUCAUGUUGUGGUGUCAACCGAGUCGACAGAGUGCAAGUCAUUGAUAAGGCAAAAUCAUAUUUGGAAUAAUUUCAAAUCAUUCAGGAGUAAAAGCUAGUAGCCAAGACAAACAUCUUCCACCACUAGAUAUAACAUGAACGCUUUAGAUUCAUGACUAUACUACAUCAGUAGUAGAACAAUCUCUACAAUGAGUUCAUGUAUUGGUACUUUACUGCUAAUGGCAAUUUGUUUCAUGUCUAAUAGUUGUGGAACAAUGUUACAAUUUUUCUCACUACCGUGACUUGCCAAUGCCUACGUGGACGAAGGAUCAUGCGCUUUGUAAGUGUCGCAGCAAGUUGUACCACAUUCCUAGAGUGAUCAUUAUGUUUCCCGACUACCUCAAAUACAUGGAUAACCUAAAUAAAUUUCAAGCGCAUUCUAAUCUGGCCAGGUUUCCAUGAUGGAUUAGGGGGCAAUAGGACCCAUACCUUCAAGGAUUUCAGAGAAGAUAAACUAUCAAGUUUGUGGGGAGGGAAAAAGGGUCCAUAUAACAUGGUUUAGUUCAAUUUCGAAAUGCAUAGCAAAAAGGAAAUAUAUAUAGGGCAUGAGCUUCCAUACCAUAGCUUCACUCUCACCCUCCAGCAUACACUUACUUCACCAUAUUGAGUACAGUAGGUCCAUGACACUAAGUACUCACCUAGCUCAGACUUGUUCCCAGGUUAUUAAUCAUACUUGACACGUGGGAUACGAAGCCUAUCAUCUAGCUAGCACGAUGAUCUGUACGCUCAAGUACAACCUUGUGUAAGCUUGAAAUUAUAACAUGUAUAUGUGUGUCAAACGAAUCUUUGAAAAACAUCUCUAUCGGAACAUGUGUUACGUUUUUCUUAUUUCUUGGGGAAAAUUUGUUACGCUCUUUUUGGUGGACAUAAGUAACCACGUUUUUGUUAUGGCUAUGCACGCAAUGCACAAACCUAUUUGCAUGUGUGUGACACGCCCCGGAAUAAUGUGCAUGUAUGUAGCUUUGUUUUUCUCUCUUAAUUGAGUAUUGUCUCCCGAAUUAAAAAAAAUGUUCUUGGCCAAGGAAGUACUUGCAAAAUUAACAUGUUAUUAUGCUACUAAGGAUCUUGGUCUCGCUCUUCGUUGAUAGAAAUUUGAAAAUAUG
rnacentral:lncRNA from 1 species